AUCGCUUCUCGGCCUUUUGGCUAAGAUCGAGUGAAGAAUCUUUUAUUCUCAGACAACUAUUGUUUUUUAAAUUAUAUUUUUUAAUUUAU
rnacentral:snRNA from 1 species